rnacentral:lncRNA from 1 species
AUUUUAUUGAGAAUUUUUGCAUCUAUGUUCAUUGGGGAGAUUGGCCUGUAGUUUUCUUUUUUGGUUGGGUCUUUCUCUGCUUUUGGAAUCAGAGUAAUGCUUCCUUCCAGGAAUGAGUUUGGGAGUAUUACUUCCCUUUCAAUUUCAUCAAAGAUUUUGAGAAGUAGUGACAUUAGCUCUUCUCUAAAUUUCUUGUAGAAUUCAACAGUGAAGCCAUCAGGACCUGGGCUUUUCCUUUUUGGAUGACUCUUUGUGUUGCUGCUCCAGAAGCACGGAUGGGAGCAUCUGAUCAUUGUGAACACACAAUGGGUAUCAGGGAUGGGACAAGUGAUGGCCUUCUCAGGAUCUCUGAUGGGGCUGGGCCCUCCCCCCCUCUAGCACUUAGCAUGAACACAGGCAACUCGGCUGCUGGGCAUAAUUAUGUUCAGUUUUAUUUUUAUUUAUUUAUUUUUGUGGUACUGGGGGUUGAACCCAAGGCUUUUACACUGAUCUACAUUUCCAGUCCUGUGUUUUGUUUUUUUUUGUUUUUUUUUAAAUUUUAAGACAAGGUCUUGCUAAGUUGCUGAGUUGCUCAGGCCAGAUUGAACUCACAGCCCUUCUCCCUCAACCCCUUAGAGUUCUAGGACUACAGGCAUAUACAUCACGCCCAGCUGUGUUGACUUUUCAGUCCUCGAGGAAGGGUGGAGGCAUCUGAAGCCUACUAGAGGUAGAGGAGUCAGAGGCCUGCCAUUCCUAGGACUUGGUAGAUUGUGGCAGAAAUAGAGAGCUCAGAGAAGGUAAGUUACCUACCCAGAGUGUUUAAUGGCAGAAUUGAAAUUUUAACGCAUUAGUAUUAGCUAACUUAGUAGUUCCUAAACCCAUGGCUGUAACCACUUUGUAUGUAGAUGUGUCUUUCCUAUAACAUAAAUGACCACUUAACAAAUACUUUCCCAAUCUCCAGUCCAAAGGGUAUGGCUUAUUUUCUGUUCAAGCAAAGAACUCAUUGCUGCCUUCAUAUACAUUACAUUGUCAUCUGCUUUCCAGCAACAGGAAAUUCUGUAGUUUGUGUAGUUUUGACACAUACGGUUUUAUAUAGGCACCUUCUUAUAGCAUAUUUUUUUUGUUUUUGUUUUUUUGCGAUACUAGGGAUUGAACUCAGUACCUUGUGCUUGUGAGGCAGGUGUGGCACUACUGAGCUAAAUUCCCGUCCCAUUAUAGCAUGGUUUUUAGAAAUGAUUUUGUGUAUGUGCAUCUUCUAAACAUGUAGUCUGUGUCUGUUAGGUGACAGACAUUGUGUUCUAAGCCUAGAGUAUUAAAUUAGUUUCUGCCUUUUCAAUACUUGGAAGAAAAGAGUAGAUAAAUACAUAUAUGGCUUGCUUAUUUAGUAAAAAACUGAUGAAUGGAAAGUUUGGACAAUAAAAAUUUAAAGUCUUUUGAGGAAAAGAAACUAACCUAUUCUAACCCUUUCUCUAGCUUGCAUGUUAUAAUAAAGGAUAGGAUAGGAGAAGUGGAUGUUAAGAAAUGGGCAAAGGGCCGGGGAUUUAGCUCAGUGGUUAUGCCGCCUGUCUUGAAACUGCAAGGACCUGAGUUCAAUCCCCGGUACCAAAAAAAAAAAAAAAAACAUAAUCUCAAGAAAUGGGCAAAAGCUGCACUCCAGCAAUGAAUAGGGAGAGUCAUAAAGACACCAAGGGACAGUCUGUCCUCCAUGAACCUAGCC